GCGGAAAAUAUAACGGGGCUAAAAGAGGACGAGCUUUAGACUUAGUUUUUAACUAAGUGGUAGGAGAGCGUUCUAUUCAGCGUGAAGGUAUACCGGUAAGGGGUGCUGGAGCGGAUAGAAGUGAGCAUGCAGGCAUGGGUAGCGAUAAUUGAUGUGAGAAUCAUCAACGCCGAAAACCCAAGGUUUCCUACGCGAUGCUCGUCAUCGUAGGGUUAGUCGGGUCCUAAGCAAAGUCCGAAAGGGGUAUGCGAUGGAAAAUUGGUUAAUAUUCCAAUACCAAUUAUUAUGUGCGAUGAAGGACGCUUAAAGUUAGUGGAGCU
rnacentral:rRNA from 1 species